UACGAAGGGGGCGAGCGUUGUUCGGAUUUACUGGGCGUAAAGGGCGCGUAGGCGGCCAACUAAGUCGGACGUGAAAUCCCUCGGCUUAACCGGGGAACUGCGUCCGAUACUGGAUGGCUUGAGUUCGGGAGAGGGAUGCGGAAUUCCAGGUGUAGCGGUGAAAUACGUAGAUAUCUGGAGGAACACCGGUGGCGAAGGCGGCAUCCUGGACCGAUACUGACGCUGAGGAGCGAAAGCCAGGGGAGCAAACGGG
rnacentral:rRNA from 1 species